AUAUUUUCCACAGCACAUGUACUAAAGCUGGAUUUAUACAGAGAAGAUUAGCAUGGCCCCUACGCAAGAAUUACAUGCAAAUUCUUGACGUAUUCCAUAUUUUU
rfam:Pteropus alecto contig76796, whole genome shotgun sequence.